rnacentral:rRNA from 1 species
UACGUAGGGGGCGAGCGUUGUCCGGAUUUACUGGGCGUAAAGAGCGCGUAGGCGGUCCUUUAAGUUGGCUGUGAAAGGUCCCGGCUCAACUGGGAUAGGUCGGCCAAAACUGGGGGGCUUGAGGGCGGUAGAGGAAGGUGGAAUUCCGGGUGUAGUGGUGAAAUGCGUAGAGAUCCGGAGGAACACCAGUGGCGAAGGCGGCCUUCUGGGCCGUACCUGACGCUGAGGCGCGAAAGCGUGGGGAGCGAACUGA